UAGGGAAUCUUCCGCAAUGGGCGAAAGCCUGACGGAGCAACGCCGCGCGAGUGAUGAAGGUCUUCGGAUCGUAAAACUCUGUUAUUAGGGAAGAACAAAUGUGUAAGUAACUAUGCACGUCUUGACGGUACCUAAUCAGAAAGCCACGGCUAACUACGUGCCAGCAGCCGCGGUAAUACGUAGGUGGCAAGCGUUAUCCGGAAUUAUUGGGCGUAAAGCGCGCGUAGGCGGUUUUUUAAGUCUGAUGUGAAAGCCCACGGCUCAACCGUGGAGGGUCAUUGGAAACUGGAAAACUUGAGUGCAGAAGAGGAAAGUGGAAUUCCAUGUGUAGCGGUGAAAUGCGCAGAGAUAUAGAGGAACACCAGUGGCGAAGGCGACUUUCUGGUCUGUAACUGACGCUGAUGUGCGAAAGCGGGGGGAUCAAACAGG
rnacentral:rRNA from 1 species